rnacentral:rRNA from 1 species
UACAGAGGGUGCGAGCGUUGUCCGGAAUCACUGGGCGUAAAGGGCGCGUAGGCGGUCGGAUAAGCGUGCGGUGAAAGCCCGGGGCUCAACCCCGGGUCGGCCGUGCGGACUGCCGGGCUCGAGCACUGUAGAGGCAGGUGGAAUUCCGGGUGUAGCGGUGGAAUGCGUAGAGAUCCGGAAGAACACCGGUGGCGAAGGCGGCCUGCUGGGCAGUAGCUGACGCUGAAGCGCGACAGCGUGGGGAGCAAACAGG